rnacentral:tRNA from 1 species
GUAGUUGUAGCUCAGUGGUAGAGCACUUGCCUAGCAAGUGUGAAGAACUGGGUUUGAUUCUCAGCACCACA